GACGAACGCUGGCGGCGUGCUUUACACAUGCAAGUCGAACGGUGAAGGUGGAGCUUGCUCCGCCGGAUCAGUGGCGAACGGGUGAGUAACACGUGGGCAACCUGCCCCUAACUUUGGGAUAACUACUCGAAAGAGUAGCUAAUACCGGAUAUGAAGUCUGUAGGCAUCUACGGACUUGGAAAGUUUUUCGGUUAGGGAUGGGCCCGCGGCCUAUCAGCGUGUUGGUGAGGUAGUGGCUCACCACGGCGACGACGGGUAGCCGGCCUGAGAGGGCGACCGGCCACACUGGGACUGAGACACGGCCCAGACUCCUACGGGAGGCAGCAGUGGGGAAUAUUGCGCAAUGGGCGAAAGCCUGACGCAGCAACGCCGCGUGCGGGAUGAAGGCCUUCGGGUUGUAAACCGCUUUCAGCAGGGAAGAAGCGAAAGUGACGGUACCUGCAGAAGAAGCACCGGCUAACUACGUGCCAGCAGCCGCGGUAA
rnacentral:rRNA from 1 species